GGGAGAGGUCACAAUCCUCAAGGGAACAGUAGAAAUUCAACUGGAGAAAUGCAAAUAGAAGGACCAGUAAAGCUGAGAGUUGGAAGAAAAAAAGGAACCAGCUGUGAAAACAAAGAGACAAGAGAGAAAAGAAAGUGAAGGAUAUUUACGGAUGGAAUGCUAUAGACAGGCACGCAUAGCAUUAGAGAAGAUGAUAAACCAAGAUAGAACAAGAUUUGAGGAAGUGUUAGAAGAAAUAGAAGAGAAAAUUAAAGAAUCAGAAAAAGCAGACGAAGAAAAAGGAAAGAUUAUUAUCUGAGCCACCCCCCUAUUUGCCAUAGAGGGAGAGGUCACAAUCCUCAAGGGAACAGUAGAAAUUCAACUGGAGAAAUGCAAAUAGAAGGACCAGUAAAGCUGAGAGUUGGAAGAAAAAAA